GUUAUGUCAUUCUCUGCAUUAAGCGUCCAAGGGAAAUGAAAUUUGUGAUGUUUGGAUAACUAAAUCGUUAAAUAGGUUCAUUGAGAUUGUGUCAAAAUGGCUUGGGUCAACACACAUGACGCCUCUGUCUUUGUCCGUGGUUUGAAGGUGUCUACAUAAAACUGGAGGUUGUUUAUUCACGAGACUCGAUGAGUGCUGUCAAGCAGUGGCUGCAUAAAUGGGCCUGCACAACUUCUGCAUAGAUAAGCAGGUGCCACUGCCUGAACAACUUACUAAGCCACAGGAAGUGGAUG